GGGUCCUCUGGUCCAGCCAGUGCAGAGGACGAAGAGUGGGCACGGACGGGCGUGGCAGUGGCGAGGGGCCAGGAGGUGCAGGUCUCUUUGUAUUCCGUUCCAAGCCCUGGCACUUGGGAGACGGGCUAGAUGUGGGACUGGAGCUAGCGAGGGUUAAGAGAACAGGUUUAACUCGGAUGCUUGGUUCCCCAAACGCUGGCAGCCCUAGUUGGCAUGUCAGGCUUUGCAGUUUGUGGGAGGAUAAAGGCGUGCAGGGACUGAGGAAAUAGCCGGGAUUCGCCUGAGAGGCGACAGGCAGCCGGGACCGAUGGGAACCCCAAGCCCGCGCCCUCGGGGAAAGGAGCGGGCAGCAGAGGGCUCUGGGCUUCUCUUGCCAGCGGGACGCCUAGGCUCUGGGAAGUGAAAAGGCGCUCCGGGAUCCGCAGCGCAGACCCAAGCUGCCGGAUUCCUGCUGCUGGGAAGCAGUGGAGCCGUCAGGAGCCACCGCCAGGCAGGUGGGAAACGCGCACCCCUGGUGGA
rnacentral:lncRNA from 1 species